rnacentral:rRNA from 1 species
GCAAGUCGAAUGGGUUUAGACCCAUGGCAGACGAGGUAGGAACACGUAGGUACAAACCCCAAAGUCAGGGAUAAUCCGGCGAAAGUCGGGAUAAUACUUGAUAGUCUCUUCGGAGUAAAGAUUUAUCGCUUUGGGAUUGGCCUGCGUUCUAUCAGCUUGAUGGUAAGGUAACGGCUUACCAUGGCUAUGACGGAUAGGGGAGGUGAGAGCCUGACC